rnacentral:lncRNA from 1 species
GUUUUCUUUAAAUGAAAGGCUCAUGUUUUAAUAUUUAAUAAGUCAUAUUUAUUAAGUAAAACCUUCUGAGAAGCCCGAGACAAAGGAAAGGUCGUGCGUAAUUUACUGACGCAAAAUUACAUCCAGUCAAUUACACCGAUGGAGUUUUAUGAGCAGCACCCUGCCGUUUAUCAUUGAAUCUUUAUCAUCUCUUAAGGACAAUUUUGCCCUUUUCUCCCUGUGAAGAAAAAAAUGUGAAGCGAAAACCCUGAAACCAUUUCGUUUGGUAUGUGUUUAAAUAUCUCUCGAUUUGCAGAGGAAAUGAGAUAAAAUUGAAGUUAUGGCUAUUUGUGAUCGAGUCUAAAUACAUCCCCAUGUUUUGUUUUUUUUGCACCCUCUGCUCGUGUGGCUGAGGUUGCGGGUCAGGACCCCGGCCCUUCAGCCAUCUCCUCACAUCUCUCAGGGUAUUGAACUAGUAACUACGAGAUGGAGAAAAGCACUCAAGUGACCAGGCGCUUCGGUCCAUCUGCUGUUUUGUGCUAAGCUGAGAAGGUUGAUGAUGUCGGGAAAAGGUCGCCUGUGUGAUUCAAACUACCAGAAUGGACUGUUAUUAUGAGCUGGUUAACAACCCACAAAUAGUCAGGUGUAUGAACCAACCUUGGCGGGGGCCUUGUCCACGGCUCCUUGGCGCGUCCGUUCCUUCCCUCUCCAUGCGGGCGCGCACGGCCACAUCAAAAUCCCCUGCAUGUAAAAAGUUACCUUAAGAUCACACUAACUAUAACACCGUGGACAACAAUGAGCUCCCUCGGAGGCUUUUUUUGCAUGCGGCCAGCCAGCUCCUGAUUUUUUUUAUGGGAUCCUAAUGUGGAGGGUCCGUGGACCAGGGUCCUGCUCUCUGACUCGGUAAUCCACAAGGUUGAGAGGUUUGCCUCAUUUACAUAACGUUGGAGGUCUGGGGCCGAGGCCUGUACCUUUCUCUUCGCCCUGAAAAGGGAACCGUGCUGCCGCCGCCAAAAGACUGGGGAGGACGCACAUGGGACAAUGGGAAUGUUUCUAGGUAGGAAAUAUUACUUAACUUUAAAACAAAAAAUUGAAAAAUUAUUGAUACUUCGAAAGGAAUAGUUUUUUUUUUUACUGAAAGCAUUUGGUUUACACCUGUUAACUCCCUCUUGUCAAACUGUUGUUUUUUUUUUUGUUUUUGUUCUGGGGAUUCAUUGUUUCUCUUUUCAAUACACUUCGCUGUCUUUUACCUGUCAGCUAUAACUUUGGAAUACACACGUACUGUUUUGUUUUUUCCCCACAACAAGGUCCGGGCCACUUCACUUUAAAUCCGCUGCGGCGUCCAGGCAUCUGGGAGGGAGGGGCUGGGGGGGGUCUGGAGAGAAAAUGAGAAAGAAAUUCGGCCACGGCAACAUGCACGGGAACAAUGAUUUAUUACAAAUCGGCUCCGUCAACUUAACCGCAGAUUGGUGUUCUUGAUAUGUCGCCGUAAUUGAUGGCUGACCAUGUCACAUCUUCAUUUGCUCAAUUAGGGGAGGGUAGCUACUUGCUGCCGCGCGCGUCGUGCUUAAAUCACAUUAGUGGCUUUCGCGCAGACGAGUGCUUCAUACUUCCCCCGCGUGAAGGAAGACGGUGACACGUUUCACGUCUGGGGGGGAAAUAACCUCCGAGCAGCAGACACCUGCUCCUGCUGUCUGCUGCUGUCUGCUGCAUAGGUGCUGAUGGUGAUAGAAAAAGAAAAGAAAUCAACCACAAAACAUCCUCAUCAUCAUCACGAUUUAUGAGAAGCACAACAAUCAGGCAGUUUUUUUUUAUUGUUGUGUAGUUAAAAGCUACAUAUGAAUUCAAUAAUGCCUUAUAGAUCCAUACAU